UAAAUAAUGGGUGCAUUUUAAAUCCGAAGACACGCCCACUGCUGUGGAGUUGCGCUUUGACAUUGAGCACACCUGUGCCACGUAAUUAUGUCGGCGUGUUUGUGGCUUUAUAAAAAGCACAGUUGAGUGGGACACUUUGAUUCCUUUUUUAUCUGUAGGCUGGGUGGCUAGAAAAGGGAGGUGUGCAUGAACGCAGGUAGCAUAUAGUAACAAUAGUUUAACCCCGUUUGUGAGGUAAGCAACUUUAUUGUGGGUUAUUUUGGGGAAGGGGGAAACUGUUUGAAAUGUUUUAUUUGUUUGGGUUUUUUUAGGUGCGCCCAAAGAGCGCUAGCUGCUGUUUCGUACCUGUUCCGUAUAUGCUUUUACACACCGUUUCAUAAACCCGAAUUAGCUUGUUGGGUUACAGUUUGGACCAAGCGGACGUCGCGGUUGUAAACCGCUGUAUUACUGAGUGUUUUAAAAUAUUAUCCUGCGCACUGGUUCUGUGCUAUGUUUGAGUAAGGACUUGGAUAUUUAUCUCUUGUGCAGGUGUAUUAAAUUAACAGGCUUGGUAUUUUUGCUCCGUGAGCCGCUUGGACGCUUUUUAAAUAUUAAUCGGGAGGUAAUUGUUUUUCUCUUUUUAACGUGUAAGUGUAAGUACCAUUUACAUAACUAUUUCCACAUGUAUUUGUCUGAGCUGUGAUUUUUGAGACUUAAGCAGAAGGGGAGAUUGUUUGUGUGUUUUGGGUUUAUUUUUGGUUUAUUCUUGUUUUUUAAGAAUGAUGCACUGAUUUGCUGUGUGCUCUGUCCCUUCUGUUACAAAGAGGAUUUAAUCUAGUCUCUCCGAUUGUGGGUAAAUAACUGGUAAGCUGUAAAUGGUGUUUUAAAAUAUUUUUAAGCAUUCUUUUGUUUAAUAAAUUUGUACUAUUUUUGUAAAG